rnacentral:tRNA from 1 species
GCAGAGGUAGCUUAGUGGUAGAGCACUUGUCUAGCAUGUGUGAAAUACUGGGUUCAAUCCCAGCACUGCA